CACUUCAAGUGGCAAAUUUCUGAGGAGAAAUUCGAGGAUGAAACAUCCAUCAACUAGCAUCAUUGUUACAAAUUCAUCACUGUUGGAGCUGAUGAUUUCGGCACAACAUUGGCGGGUUCUUUCUUCUAUCUGCUUCAUAGUUUUCAAAUAAAU